AUUAGAGUUUGAUCCUGGCUCAGGACGAACGCUGGCGGCGUGCCUAACACAUGCAAGUCGAGCGAUGAAACCCCUUCGGGGGUGGAUUAGCGGCGGACGGGUGAGUAACACGUGGGUAACCUGCCUCAAAGUGAGGGAUAGCCUUCCGAAAGGAAGAUUAAUACCGCAUAAAGCCAAGUUUCACAUGGAAUUUGGAUGAAAGGAGUAAUUCGCUUUGAGAUGGACCCGCGGCGCAUUAGUUAGUUGGUGGGGUAAUGGCCUACCAAGACGGCGAUGCGUAGCCGACCUGAGAGGGUGAUCGGCCACAUUGGAACUGAGAUACGGUCCAGACUCCUACGGGAGGCAGCAGUGGGGAAUAUUGCACAAUGGGCGAAAGCCUGAUGCAGCAACGCCGCGUGAGUGAUGAAGGUCUUCGGAUUGUAAAGCUCUGUCUUUUGGGACGAUAAUGACGGUACCAAAGGAGGAAGCCACGGCUAACUACGUGCCAGCAGCCGCGGUAAUACGUAGGUGGCGAGCGUUGUCCGGAUUUACUGGGCGUAAAGGGUGCGUAGGCGGAUGUUUAAGUGAGAUGUGAAAUACCCGGGCUUAACUUGGGUGCUGCAUUUCAAACUGGAUAUCUAGAGUGCAGGAGAGGAGAAUGGAAUUCCUAGUGUAGCGGUGAAAUGCGUAGAGAUUAGGAAGAACACCAGUGGCGAAGGCGAUUCUCUGGAC
rnacentral:rRNA from 1 species